CCGGCGACCGGCGCACGGGUGAGUAACACGUAUGCAACCUGCCCUCUUCAGGGGGACAACCUUCCGAAAGGGAGGCUAAUCCCGCGUAUAUCGGUUUCGGGCAUCCGAGAUCGAGGAAAGAUUCAUCGGAAGAGGAUGGGCAUGCGGCGCAUUAGCUAGACGGCGGGGGUAACGGGCCCACCGUGGCGACGAUGCGUAGGGGUUCUGAGAGGAAGGUCCCCCACACUGGUACUGAGACACGGACCAGACUCCUACGGGAGGCAGCAG
rnacentral:rRNA from 1 species